UUUCCCUCAGGAUAGCUGGAGCUCGUGUAAGAGUUUUAUCAGGUAAAGCGAAUGAUUAGAGGCAUCGGGNGUGUAACACCCUCGACCUAUUCUCAAACUUUAAAUAGGUAAGCCGCCGGGGUUGCUUGGUUGAACCCCGGCACAGAAUGAGAGCUCCA
rnacentral:ncRNA from 1 species